rnacentral:rRNA from 1 species
GUAGGCGGUUUAAUAAGUGAAUAGUGAAACCUGGUGGCUCAACCAUACAGACUAUUAUUCAAACUGUUAAACUCGAGAAUGGUAGAGGUAACNUGGAAUUUCUAGUGUAGGAGUGAAAUCCGUAGAUAUUAGAAGGAACACCGAUGGCGUAGGCAGGUUANUGGGCCAUUUCUGACGCUAAGGCACGAAAGCGUGGGGAGCGAACCGGAUUAGAUACCCGGGUAGUCCACGCCGUAAACGAUGAAUACUAGCUGUUGGAGGUAUCGACCCCUUCAGUAGCGAAGCUAACGCGUUAAGUAUCCCGCCUGUGGAGUACGGCCGCAAGGCUAAAACAUAAAGGAAUUGACGGGGACCCGCACAAGCGGUGGAUUAUGUUCUUUAAUUCGAUGAUAACCGAAGAACCUUACCAGGGCUUGACAUCCAGGGAAGGUCUGCGAAAGUAGACUGUGCCUUUUGGAACCCUGUGACAGGUGAUGCAUGGCCGUCGUCAGCUCGUGUCGUGAGAUGUUAGGUUAAGUCCUUCAACGAGCGCAACCCUUGUGAAUAGUUGUAUUUUUCUAUUCAGACUGCCCCGGUAACGGGGAGGAAGGAGGGGAUGAUGUCAGGUCAGUAUUUCCCUUACGUCCUGGGCUAGAAACGUAAUACAAUGGCUAGUACAAUGCGCANCGAACCCCNAGGU